GGAUUUGACCGCCUGACCUCACCCCGGAGACCCUGACAAGUGGGACUGCUCUCCUACCCUCCAGGGUAUUGUUCUCAUCUGCCGUAAGUCUGGUUAUCACCACAGUUUCCCCCAGGGGAAGGAGGAAGAGCAGAAAGGCCACCCAGGUAGUAUGAUAAGGUAUGGCCUGGAGGUGGCACAGGGGCUUUCUUUUUGCAUUUCAUCACGAGCUUUGAGUCACAUGUUUACUCAUGCUACUUGAGCCAGAGAGAAAGAGAAACUCUGCCUGAGGGAUCUACUAUGCUUUUAGUUCGUUGUUCCUUUGAGACACGGAUUCCGGAUUCCAGAGGACAAUAGUAGCUGAUACUAUUUCAAGCUGCUGGGACAGAGAAACUCCAUUAAUCUCUGGAACAUCUUCCUGAAGCGGUAGUCAGGGAAAGGAUCCUGUUCUCCAAGAGAAUUCUUUUGCAUUCUGCAAAGUUGUGAGAUGGGUGAAGUCAAUAGACAUCAACUCUAACCCCAUUAUCUCAUACUCCAGCGGUAAGUGGUUCUCCUUGAUGCCUUUGUUCUCUAUUAAAGUAUCCCACCCAGAACCUUCUGGUUUUGUGUGGACUUCUCAUUUUAUUCUUUCAGUUAUUAUAAACAUGUAGCUGGUAAGUAUUUCUUAGAACCUGGAGCUGUCAUGUUCAAAAUUUCAACCCCUUUAUAUUCCAGAGGACCAGUUAAAGCUCCCAAAGAAUUGAGACUCUCUCUUAAAUUCUCAAAUAUUUUCUUGCUAGUACUAUAAUGAAAUUAAACUUCAGAUUCUGUGGUUUUGUUUCUCUUUUUAAUGCACAACCUGUCUUUUGUUCCUGUCCUUGCAAAGAGUUCUUAGUGGCAUUAACAAGUGAGAGCUGACAGCAUUCCACUGUUAUCUCUCCUAAUAGA
rnacentral:lncRNA from 1 species